rnacentral:rRNA from 1 species
GACGGAGGAGGCAAGCGUUAUCCGGAAUUAUUGGGCGUAAAGCGUCCGUAGGUGGCUGCUCAAGUCUGCCGUCAAAGCACAGGGCUUAACUCUGUUAAGGCGGUGGAAACUGAGGAGCUAGAGAGAGGUAGGGGUAGAGGGAAUUCCCAGUGUAGCGGUGAAAUGCGUAGAGAUUGGGAAGAACACCGGUGGCGAAAGCGCUCUACUGGACCUCAUCUGACACUGAGGGACGAAAGCUAGGGGAGCGAAUGGGAUUAGAACCCCGGUAGUCC